AAGUCGUAACAAGGUUUCCGUAGGUGAACCUGCGGAAGGAUCAUUAACACGUUAUCCACGUAUCAUCAAUGCUGAACCGUUAUUAACUCCCUCCGUGCAGAAUGAACAGAAGCGAUAGAGUGAUGGAAGUGGAUGUGUUCUUUUACGCGCCGAUCUCUAUUGUUAUUCUUGCUGACGGGCCUGCUUUUUUGGCGGCUCCGAGUGCGGGUACUGUUGCAUCUGUCUCGUGGAGGACCCCUCUCAGCGAACAACUCUCCUUCCAGAGGUGGGCGCUCGAGAACUUAUUCACAAUUUUCACCCCCUUUUGCUAGUUGACUUUUAUAUGUUGUUCUUUGCUUCGGCAAGGUUCACACGUUUAAUUAUUUGAACGUUAAAAAUACAACUCUUAGCAAUGGAUAUCUAGGUUCUC
rnacentral:misc_RNA from 1 species